rnacentral:rRNA from 1 species
AUUAACGCUAGCGGGAUGCCUUACACAUGCAAGUCGAACGGCAGCACGGACUUCGGUCUGGUGGCGAGUGGCGAACGGGUGAGUAAUGUAUCGGAACGUGCCUAGUAGCGGGGGAUAACUACGCGAAAGCGUAGCUAAUACCGCAUACGCCCUACGGGGGAAAGCAGGGGAUCGCAAGACCUUGCACUAUUAGAGCGGCCGAUAUCGGAUUAGCUAGUUGGUGGGGUAACGGCUCACCAAGGCGACGAUCCGUAGCUGGUUUGAGAGGACGACCAGCCACACUGGGACUGAGACACGGCCCAGACUCCUACGGGAGGCAGCAGUGGGGAAUUUUGGACAAUGGGGGAAACCCUGAUCCAGCCAUCCCGCGUGUGCGAUGAAGGCCUUCGGGUUGUAAAGCACUUUUGGCAGGAAAGAAACGUCAUGGGCUAAUACCCCGUGAAACUGACGGUACCUGCAGAAUAAGCACCGGCUAACUACGUGCCAGCAGCCGCGGUAAUACGUAGGGUGCAAGCGUUAAUCGGAAUUACUGGGCGUAAAGCGUGCGCAGGCGGUUCGGAAAGAAAGAUGUGAAAUCCCAGAGCUUAACUUUGGAACUGCAUUUUUAACUACCGAGCUAAGUGUGUCAGAGGGAGGUGGAAUUCCGCGUGUAGCAGUGAAAUGCGUAAAUAUGCGGAGGAACACCGAUGGCGAAGGCAGCCUCCUGGGAUAACACUGACGCUCAUGCACGAAAGCGUGGGGAGCAAACAGGAUUAAAUACCCUGGUAGUCACGCCCUAAA